rnacentral:rRNA from 1 species
UACGGAGGGUGCGAGCGUUGUCCGGAAUCACUGGGCGUAAAGGGCGCGUAGGCGGCGCGGGCAGUCAACGGUGAAAGCUCGGAGCUCAACUCCGAGUCGGCCGUCGAUACUCCCGUGCUUGAGCACUGUAGAGGCAGGUGGAAUUCCGGGUGUAGCGGUGGAAUGCGUAGAGAUCCGGAAGCACACCGGUGGCGAAGGCGGCCUGCUGGGCAGUAGCUGACGCUGAGGCGCGACAGCGUGGGGAGCAAACAGG